AUCAAUUCUCAGCAUUUUAGCUAAGGUCAGUUGUGGUGUCUGUUCUUGUCAGCAAAUGUGUCCAUGUCAUUAUAUCUGAUAAGUCUUCUAUCUAAGGACAAUAGAUUAAGUGGAUUUGGACAUCAGGAAUAAGAGCCUGCUCUACUCACUUCACUCAUCUACUUGGCAUUGCAGAACUUUCUGUAAUGCUAAUACCCUC